rnacentral:rRNA from 1 species
GAUGAACGCUGGCGGCGUGCCUAAUACAUGCAAGUCGAGCGAACAGACGAGGAGCUUGCUCCUUUGACGUUAGCGGCGGACGGGUGAGUAACACGUAGGUGACCUACCUAUAAGACUGGGAUAACUUCGGGAAACCGGAGCUAAUACCGGAUAAUAUUUCGAACCGCAUGGUUCGAUAGUGAAAGAUGGCUUUGCUAUCACUUAUAGAUGGACCUGCGCCGUAUUAGCUAGUUGGUAAGGUAACGGCUUACCAAGGCAACGAUACGUAGCCGACCUGAGAGGGUGAUCGGCCACACUGGAACUGAGACACGGUCCAGACUCCUACGGGAGGCAGCAGUAGGGAAUCUUCCGCAAUGGGCGAAAGCCUGACGGAGCAACGCCGCGUGAGUGAUGAAGGUCUUCGGAUCGUAAAACUCUGUUAUUAGGGAAGAACAAACGUGUAAGUAACUGUGCACGUCUUGACGGUACCUAAUCAGAAAGCCACGGCUAACUACGUG